rnacentral:rRNA from 1 species
AUGUUAGCGGCGGACGGGUGAGUAACACGUGGGUAACCUACCUAUAAGACUGGGAUAACUCCGGGAAACCGGGGCUAAUACCGGAUAAUAUUUUGAACCGCAUGGUUCAAUAGUGAAAGACGGUUUCGGCUGUCACUUAUAGAUGGACCCGCGCCGUAUUAGCUAGUUGGUAAGGUAACGGCUUACCAAGUCGACGAUACGUAGCCGACCUGAGAGGGUGAUCGGCCACACUGGAACUGAGACACGGUCCAGACUCCUACGGGAGGCAGCAGCU